rnacentral:rRNA from 1 species
GAUCAUAGCUCAGGAUGAACGCUAGCUACAGGCUUAACACAUGCAAGUCGAGGGGCAGCAUGGUCUUAGCUUGCUAAGGCCGAUGGCGACCGGCGCACGGGUGAGUAACACGUAUCCAACCUGCCGUCUACNCUUGGACAGCCUUCUGAAAGGAAGAUUAAUACAAGAUGGCAUCAUGAGUCCGCAUGUUCACAUGAUUAAAGGUAUUCCGGUAGACGAUGGGGA